rnacentral:pre_miRNA from 1 species
UGGAAGACUUGUGAUUUUGUUGCUGUAUCUUUGCAUCCCAGCAACGAGUCCACGUCUUCAAAGA